rnacentral:lncRNA from 1 species
UCCGACGUGUGGGCCUUUCUUCCGUAUUUCCUGAUAACCCCCUGUAGAAAUAGACAAACACCAAAACUCGUGGAAUUCUGUCAGAUAAAACCCUAAGUCUAGAUAUUGAUUCCAUUUGGAUCCUUUUCUUUAUUUAUUUGAUAAUUAAAUUUGAUACUUAAGGACCGUCAACAAUGUCAAGGUUGAUUUUUGAGCCGAUAGUAUGCUAUAAUAUAUAUUGGAUAUUUUGUUGGACUAACCCCUGCAGGAAAACUUUCAAUAUCGACCUGGGAAGUCCUGAGAUAAACUCACACUAGAGACAAAGAGAGAGACACAUGAAGUUUAAUAAUUUACACAAGGAAGACAUAGCUCAUAAGAGAUGAUGCAUGGAAGGUGCCACAAACACGAUGCACAACCGC